CUGCUCAGGAUGAACGCUGGCGGCGUGCCUAAUACAUGCAAGUCGAACGCGCAGCGAGAGGUGCUUGCACCUUUCAAGCGAGUGGCGAACGGGUGAGUAACACGUGGAUAACCUGCCUCAAGGCCGGGGAUAACAUUUGGAAACAGAUGCUAAUACCGAAUAAAACUUAGUAUCGCAUGAUAUCAAGUUAAAAGGCGCUACGGCGUCACCUAGAGAUGGAUCCGCGGUGCAUUAGUUAGUUGGUGGGGUAAAGGCUUACCAAGACGAUGAUGCAUAGCCGAGUUGAGAGACUGAUCGGCCACAUUGGGACUGAGACACGGCCCAAACUCCUACGGGAGGCUGCAGUAGGGAAUCUUCCACAAUGGGCGCAAGCCUGAUGGAGCAACGCCGCGUGUGUGAUGAAGGCUUUCGGGUCGUAAAGCACUGUUGUAUGGGAAGAAAUGCUAAAAUAGGGAAUGAUUUUAGUUUGACGGUACCAUACCAGAAAGGGACGGCUAAAUACGUGCCAGCAGCCGCGGUAAUACGUAUGUCCCGAGCGUUAUCCGGAUUUAUUGGGCGUAAAGCGAGCGCAGACGGUUGAUUAAGUCUGAUGUGAAAGCCCGGAGCUCAACUCCGGAAUGGCAUUGGAAACUGGUUAACUUGAGUGUUGUAGAGGUAAGUGGAACUCCAUGUGUAGCGGUGGAAUGCGUAGAUAUAUGGAAGAACACCAGUGGCGAAGGCGGCUUACUGGACAACAACUGAC
rnacentral:rRNA from 1 species